CCGCGCCGCCCCGAGCCCAGGUCGCCGCGCCGGCGCGCGGUAGUCGGUGCGCGAUGCCCGGUGCACGGUAGUCGGUGCGCGGGGUCCGGCGCGCGGUGGCCGGUGCGCGGAGCCGGGCGGAGCGGGGCUCGCGGAGGGAGGAGUUUUCCCAGAAGGGGACUGACGGGAAAGCACGGGCGAUCCCUAUUCCUGGCGGGGUGAGUCAACGGGAGAGGAAGGGAGCCGGGGGAACCGAGCGCGCGCAGGAGGGCGGAAGGGAGGGAAGUCGGAGGGGGGGGCAAGGCGGGCCCGGAGCGCAGGUCCAAGGCCGGAAGAAGAGAGCGCCAGGGGAGCGGCAGAGGGGCGCGACGCCGGGGCCACUCACCUGGGGGACGCGGCCGCACGGCGGAGCCGGGAGCUGCGGGCCCUCCCCGCCCCCGGCCUGGGGUUUGAAAGGAGGAAGCCUGGAAUACACUGUGAAAAUAGUGAAGGAGAAGACCUCAGCACCUGCCCUUCCAGAGCUUUCCAUUUAGCUGGGAAAACUCGGUCUGUGGAGGAGCAUCGCCAGAAAGUGGGGAGUCCGGGUCUUAAACACGCCAGGCCACACCGUGCGGCACGUGGGAUCUUAGUUCCCCCACCGGGGACCGAACCCAUGCCCCCUGCGGUGGAAGCACGGAGUUCUAACCACGGAACGGCUAGAGAAGUCCCAAUCCUGUUUUGUUUUUUUUUAAUUUUUAUUUUAUAUUAGAGUAUAGCUGAUUUACAAUGCUGUGUCCUGCUUUUGAAAAAUAAAUGGAAAAGAAUCUUACAGUGAGUAUCUCUGACAGGUUGAAGAUUAAGGGGCCUUCUUUCUCAUUUUUUAAAAAUUAAUUUUAAAAAAUUAAUUAAAUUUAUUUAUUUUUGACUGCGUUGGGUCUUCGUUGCUGCGCACAGGCUUUCUCUAG